ACUACUCCGAUCCGGAUCCGUUUUACCUCCGGCAGAUCCGCGCUAAAGUCAGGUCUGUUUAGUGGAUCUGGUCCGGCUUCACUCCGGGUUCGGGUUAUGAUUGUGACUCACGUUCAGAUCCGUUUUACUGACGGUAAAUCCGCAUAACAGUCCGUCUCAUUUCACGCCUUCCAUAUGACUUCGGCACGGAGUCAGAUACCAGAUGUGAGUUCAGUGUCAGCUCAGUGUCGUUUUGCGGAUCCGGGCCGCAUCGGCGGAGCGGCACAGGAGCGGGAGAAAUUCAAACUCAGCGCGAGGACCAACUGACAUCUGCUGAAUCUGCGCUUCAGGGCUGCUGAGGGCUGGGGACCUGAGAUAAGGUGUAAUCAUUUACCCAUCAAAUCACCUAACAAGGAUCAGCCUGGAUCCUAACAGUACUUGAUGCACUGAGCAGUGACAUUAUACAUAGAGUAGUUAAGCAGGAUUUGGUAUCCGCAAAAUGGUUCGAGGUCCUCAGCCCUCGCCUCCCCCAGCACAGAGGAAAACUACCAAGGGCGGUACUCUCAUUAUAGGAGAUUCAAUUGUUAGACAUUUAAAAGUAUCUAAGAGUAAUGGCACAAUUUCAUGUCUUCCAGAUGCUUGCAUGCUGGUAGUCGGCAAGCGGCUCCCUGGGGCGCAUUGCCAAAGCAGGAACCCCGGCACCAUCGCCCUCCACGUGGGGAUGAGCUUUCGGGAGCGACCGGCCCCGUUCCACAGAGACAGGCUUCUCUCUGUGAACAUCGAGGCGGUGCUACGCUGAGACUGACUGUCUCUACCCAGUCACACCAGCCAAGUAGGCUGCACUGUAGUGGUGUUAAGUGUCCAAGAAUGCUCUCAUCAGUGGAGGCACAGCUGGCUGCAAAAAACGUCUGUGUCUGCAUGUUUAUAUUAUGUGAAUUAAAAAUGGUUUUAUUAUUAAAAUAAUUGUAUUAAUGCCUGUUGAUUUAUAAAUUGUUUAAUUGAAAUCAAAUUUUAUUUAAGUAGCUUAAUUAAGUAUUGCAUUUAUAACUGAUGGUAUUUUAUUUAAUUAGCUUAAGUAUUGCAUUUAUAAGUGAUGGUAUUUUAUUUUAAUU